rnacentral:rRNA from 1 species
GACGAACGCUGGCGGCACGCCUAACACAUGCAAGUCGAGCGGAGAAAUUAAGAUGAACCCUUCGGGGUGAUUCUUAAUCUUCUUAGCGGCGGACGGGUGAGUAACGCGUGGGAAACCUGCCCUAUACAGGAGGAUAGCCUCGGGAAACCGGGAUUAAUACUCCAUAACACUAAUCUUUCGCAUGAAAGAUUAGUCAAAACUCCGGUGGUAUAGGAUGGUCCCGCGUCCCAUUAGCUAGUUGGUGAGGUAACUGCUCACCAAGGCAACGAUGGGUAGCCGGCCUGAGAGGGUGAUCGGCCACACUGGAACUGAGACACGGUCCAGACUCCUACGGGAGGCAGCAGUGGGGAAUAUUGCACAAUGGGGGAAACCCUGAUGCAGCGAUGCCGCGUGAGCGAUGAAGGUCUUCGGAUCGUAAAGCUCUGUCCUUAGGGAAGAAACCAUGACAGUACCUAAGGAGGAAGCCCCGGCUAACUACGUGCCAGCAGCCGCGGUAAUACGUAGGGGGCGAGCGUUGUCCGGAAUCACUGGGCGUAAAGGGAGCGUAGGCGGCUUUGUAAGUCAGAUGUUAAAUCCAUUGGCUCAACCAAUGUAAGCAUUUGAAACUACAGGGCUUGAGUACAGGAGAGGAGAGUGGAAUUCCUAGUGGAGCGGUGAAAUGCGUAGAUAUUAGGAGGAACACCAGUGGCGAAGGCGACUCUCUGGACUGUUACUGACGCUGAGGCUCGAAAGCGUGGGGAGCAAACAGG